rnacentral:lncRNA from 1 species
UUAAACAAUUCAAAUUGGCCAAGCCCAUAUAAAAAAAGUACAUAGUCAAGAGAAAUAAUAUUCCAAGUCCAAUCCAAUAAGCCCAAACAAAUAACAACUUAACAAUAGGCCCGAGUCCAAAUAAACAAUAUGCAAUUGAUAUAAUCCAAAUAUCCUCAAAUUAAUUACCAAAUACAAUAUGCCCAUAAACCCAAAUUAACAAAUUUCAAAUUAAUUCACUAACAAUAAAUUAAAUCGAAUUACGUAUUGAUCUACCAACAACAAAUCAACCCCAAAUUUCAUAUUAAUUCAACAAUUCAAAUUUCACAAACAACAAUUACCAUUAAAAUAAAAUUAAAUAACAACAAUAACAAUAAUAAUAACAAUAAUAAUAAUAAUAAUAACAAUGACAAUAAUAAUAAUAAUAAUAUUAAUAUUAAUAAUAAUGGAAAUGGGAAGGGGUUGCCGACCGGCGUCCUACCACUGUCGUGGAGCGAGAGAAAAAAUGGAGAAAAAUUAAAAAUGAGGGAAGGAGAAGAGGAAAUGGGAGGCUCGGCCACCUAAAAAAAUGGAAAAGAAAAGAAAAAAAAAACCAAAAUCCAAAGGGAGAAAUGAGAAGAGAGAAAGAGGGAAGAGAUGAGAGCGUGGGUGUGUGGCCGGCUGGGAAGGGAAGUGGAGUGUGGGGAGAGAGAAGGAAAAAAAUGGAGAGAAAAAAAAAUAAAAUCCAUGGGGCAUGUGUGUGUCUUCG